GAAUACCGAAGAAUGUUAUCACGGGAGACACACUGCGGGUGCUAAAGUCCGUCGUGAAGAGGGAAAAAACCAAGACCGCCAGCUAAGGUCCCAAAGUCAUGGUUAAGUGGGAAACGAUGUGGGAAGGCACAGACAGCCAGGAUGUUGGAUUAGAAGCAGCCAUCAUUUAAAGAAAGCGUAAUAGCUCACUGGUCGAGUCGGCCUGCGCGGAAUAUGUAACGGGGCUAAACCAUGCACCGAAGCUGCGGCAGCGACACUAUGUGUUGUUGGGUAGGGGAGCGUUC
rnacentral:rRNA from 1 species